rnacentral:rRNA from 1 species
GUCCAGACUCCUACGGGAGGCAGCAGUGGGGAAUAUUGCACAAUGGGGGAAACCCUGAUGCAGCGACGCCGCGUGAGCGAUGAAGUAUUUCGGUAUGUAAAGCUCUAUCAGCAGGGAAGAAGAUGACGGUACCUGACUAAGAAGCCCCGGCUAACUACGUGCCAGCAGCCGCGGUAAUACGUAGGGGGCAAGCGUUAUCCGGAUUUACUGGGUGUAAAGGGAGCGUAGACGGCGAUGCAAGCCAGAUGUGAAAGCCCGGGGCUCAACCCCGGGACUGCAUUUGGAACUGUGUGGCUGGAGUGUCGGAGAGGCAGGCGGAAUUCCUAGUGUAGCGGUGAAAUGCGUAGAUAUUAGGAGGAACACCAGUGGCGAAGGCGGCCUGCUGGACGAUGACUGACGUUGAGGCUCGAAAGCGUGGGGAGCAAACAGGAUUAGAUACCCGGGUA